GAGGCAAGAUGCAGCUGUUUGUGCGCGCCGAGAACACACACACCCUUGACGUGCAAGAUGGUCAGUGUAUUGGUGAUGUGCGUUCGUUCGUGUGCACAGCAGAAAACCUUCCCCAAGCAGAGGUGAGGCUGUACGCAGCUGGCACACCCCCUGGACAAUGAUGCUCUUCUCCUUAAUACACUACAAGUUGACACCAUUGAUGUCUCUGUUGCCCUGAAGGGAGGUAAGGUUCACGGGUCCCUCUCCCGCGCUGGAAAGGUGAAAGGACAGACCCCAAAAGUUGACAAGAAGGAGAAAAAGAAGGCCAAGACAGGACGAGCAAAGAGACGCAUUCAAUACAACCGUCGUUUUGUCAAUGUUGUCACCACGUUCGGGAAGAA